rnacentral:rRNA from 1 species
AUUGAACGCUGGCGGCAGGCCUAACACAUGCAAGUCGAACGAGUGGCGGACGGGUGAGUAAUGUCUGGGAAACUGCCUGAUGGCGGGGGAUAACUACUGGAAACGGUAGCUAAUACCGCAUACCAUCAGAUGUGCCCAGAUGGGAUUAGCUAGUUGGUGGGGUAACGGCUAACCAAGGCGACGAUCCCUAGCUGGUCUGAGAGGAGUACCAGACACACUGGAACUGAGACACGGUCCAGACGCCUACGGGAGGAAGCAGGGGGGAAUAUUGCACAAUGGGCGAAAGCCUGAUGCAGCCAUGCCGCGUGUAUGAAGAAGGCCGUCGGGUUGUAAAGUACGUUCAGCGGGGAGGCGUUACCCGCAGAAGAAGCACCGGCUAACUCCGUGCCAGCAGCCGCGGUAAUUC